UCUGGCAUUUUGAUAGUCUUGGUCUUGUAAAGUCUGUCCUUCUAUUUAAACAAUGGCUGACUAGCCUGUGGCUCAUGUGCCUCAUGUGGCUCAGGCGCAGCUCACUUACUAGCACUGUGUCUCAGAGCUGUGCGGAUGCAGGGCUGCUGCCCAGCCUCAUUGCUCCUGAGGAGUUAUCCCACACUGAGGAGAAAGUGAUUUGAGGACAGAGAAGCUCUCCCAAACUGCUCUCAAAUUUUCUGACCUGGAAGAGUGACAGCUCCUUAUUUCAAGCCUUAAGGUGUUCUCUCUGAAUCCUCAGCCGCAAUGGCUUUCUGCCAAAGAGGUGCUCCCAGUGGAAAUAGGUUGGGACAUUAUCACUGCAAAUAAUGCAGUUCUGAAGUUCAUCUGGUUGGUUAACAGUGCAGGAUGAUAACUUCUGGCAGUUUCUCACCAUGUUUCUCCAAGCACAGAGGAUAUGAACUAUGAUAAAUGCUGGAAAACAUCAGACAGCUGUCAGGUAUGUUGACAGUGGGAAAUUGGGAAGGAGGGACUGUAUGCGUUAUGCACUGAAACUGAAUUUGUUCACACGAUGAUUUGCUCCAUUUAUAAUUAAAACUGAACUCAACCUAGAAGCUCUUUUUUUGCUCAGCUCUCACUUUCCAUUUAGUUUCUGCCUGGCAAAGAGGAGUUGAUGGUCCCCACACAGCCUCCCCUCUCUGCAUCCAGAGCCCUUCUGGUUAAGCCAAAAUGAUAUGCCAUUCACACUGAACUUGGCAGUAUUUUAUUAUUCCUUCUUCCUUACAUUUUUAUCAGCAGUGACACUGCUGCCAAGCCUUGUGCACCUCUGGAUAAUAUUUAUGCAAAUUAUUGACUAAGUUAUUUUUUACAUUUGCAAAUAUUUGCAUACAUCUGUACAAUUUAGCUUAAUAUAUGCACACUGAGCACUGGGGAAAGGCUCAGAAGCUAGGGGACAGAUGUCUAUUGCAGUCUGCCCACAGUAACCUUUUCCCAGCUCGCACUUUCUCUACAAAACAGGAAGCAAUACAAAAUGCCUUUCUCCAAAGGAAAGGCUAGGAAGCUUGGCUAUGCAGUGAGCACAGCAGAGAUGCAGAAGUGUUUUCAGCAGUAGGCGGGAAAGGGAGGAUCAAAAUAUGUGGUCAUUGCUACAAUACUGCUCACCUUCCUUUUGCUCUUUAAG